UAUUAAAAGUUUCAUUUAUUUGUACUAUUAAAAACUAGCGUGAUUGGCGGAAUAAUAAGAUAGUGAAACUUGACAUGCCAUGUGUACCUUAUGCUGACAUAUAAUACCAAUAUUUAACAGUAAAAAAGAAUUUAAAUUUUAAUA
rfam:Gossypium hirsutum cultivar TM-1 unplaced genomic scaffold scaffold1842.1, whole genome shotgun sequence